AUUGAACGCUGGCGGAAUGCUUUACACAUGCAAGUCGAGCGGCAGCGCGGGGCAACCUGGCGGCGAGCGGCGAACGGGUGAGUAAUACAUCGGAACGUACCCUGUCGUGGGGGAUAACGAAUCGAAAGAUUCGCUAAUACCGCAUACGACCUGAGGGUGAAAGUGGGGGAUCGCAAGACCUCACGCGAUAGGAGCGGCCGAUGUCGGAUUAGCUAGUUGGGGGGGUAAAGGCUCACCAAGGCGACGAUCCGUAGCGGGUCUGAGAGGACGGCCCGCCACACUGGAACUGAGACACGGUCCAGACUCCUACGGGAGGCAGCAGUGGGGAAUUUUGGACAAUGGGGGCAACCCUGAUCCAGCCAUUCCGCGUGAGUGAAGAAGGCCUUCGGGUUGUAAAGCUCUUUCGGCAGGAACGAAACGGUCCUAGUUAAUACCUGGGGCUAAUGACGGUACCUGAAGAAGAAGCACCGGCUAACUACGUGCCAGCAGCCGCCGUAA
rnacentral:rRNA from 1 species